UGACUGGUGUUUGGAUGUAUUGGUUACACGACAUGGGAAGUACUGCUCUGGUCUGAGAGGAUUAUUUACUUCCACAAUGACAAGAUUUUCAGCGCCAAAGGGUCGCAGUCCGUCAGGCGAUGACCUGUCUGCCCUUCCAUACCUUGAUGAGCGAGUCAUAAUUGAUCACCUGAAAGCAAGACAUGCAAAGGGAGACUACCACACGUACAUUGGUGACAUCCUUGUGUUCCUCAACCCAUUCAAGCCCGUUGACAUCUACACACACGCG